AUAUUUUAAAAAAAUACAUUAAAGGAUGAAAUUGACCGUGAUUUUUAGGUAGAAAAUUGGUUGGGUUCUCUUAUUCCGACACCGCUAGUCACAUUUGUCAAUAAUGUCUGUAUAUUUUUGCUUUAGUUGAUGAAGCAUCAAUUGGAAGAGGCAUACUGUGAAGAUACUAAUUUUAUAUUCGAAUUAAAGUGAGGCCGGAGGUUUAGUUGUUGGUUUUUGAUCACGGUUGAUGAGGUGUAUUGUGUUUGUUGGAUCUGCGUGGCGGUGCGAUUGUCUUUUGGUGGAUGAGAAAUGAGGAGCUUUGCAGUGGUCUUCUUGUCAGAAGUUAUCUUCUUUGUCUUCAGCGUGUCAUCACGUGCAUAUAAUUUGUGAGUAGUUGCAGGUGGAGGUUUCUUAUUCUUAUAAGCUGUGGGCACCGUCUUCUGUCGUUGAUCAGAUUUUUUGUCUGGUCUGGUUAUUCCCUCAUCGCCUUUGUUUUCUGAAAGUUUAUUGUCCACGGGAGAGUUCACUUUAUGCUUCUUUUGGUUUUCCUGGUGGUUGAGUGUAUGGAGCCCCUUCUUUUCGGAGGAUCUUACUUGUUCAUCCAUCAGAAUGUAGUUCUUGUUGAUAAGAUGGGGAGAUGAGGAUCAUUUAUACAGUUCUUUUAAUGGAUCCAGUGUCACCAUAAUCGUGAAGUUGUUUCAGUUGUACUCAGAUAGGAGUGAGUCAGCAAAAUGAUGAGGAGGAAGGAUCGUUAUUCUUAGUUUUAUAUUUUAACAGAGUGUAUACAGAUUGCAGAAUUAGGAGUCAAUCUUGUGGGGGAAUAUGUAAUGAUUAUCAGAUUUAAACUGAAUCAGAUCAGGGGAGAUGUAUUUGUGUAAAAUGCAGAGUGUAUACAGAUUGCAGAAUUAGGAGUCAAUCUUGUGGGGGAAUAUGUAAUGAUUAUCAGAUUUAAACUGAAUCAGGUUAUGUUCACAUAAAUCUAAAUAUGGUGAUCAAGAGAGAAAGACCUGUAAAGAUGUGGUAAGGUCUGGUUCGGGGAAUGAUUAAUCAGUUGUGGUCCAAUACUUCACUGCAACAACUUUCGAAAACCGUCCUGCUGAAACACUUGACAAUGACUGAAUCAGAAAGCUAUCACCGAUGAGAAAAGUGAUGACUAAAUUUAUAAUUAUUUUAGAGCUAUAAUAAUGAUGUGUAAUGUUGGGUGGAGUUCUUUUGUAAUUGUUUUAGAGUUAUAAUAGAUUUGUGUAAUAUAGGUCGGAGUUCUCGUAGAUUUAGGAGUGGUAGUUGUUUACUUGUUUGUGUUUGCUUGUAUGACAAACUAAAAUUUUAAGCUAAAUAACUUAAAUAUGUUUUAAAAAUAAA